rnacentral:rRNA from 1 species
GAAGGGGGCUAGCGUUGCUCGGAAUUACUGGGCGUAAAGGGCGCGUAGGCGGACAGCUUAGUCAGAGGUAAAAGCCCAGGGCUCAACCUUGGAACUGCCUUUGAUACUGGCUGUCUUGAGUACGGGAGAGGUGUGUGGAACUCCGAGUGUAGAGGUGAAAUUCGUAGAUAUUCGGAAGAACACCAGUGGCGAAGGCGACACACUGGCCCGUUACUGACGCUGAGGCGCGAAAGCGUGGGGAGCAAACAGGAUUAGAUACCCUGGUAGUCCACGCCGUAAACGAUGAGUGCUAGUUGUCGGCAUGCAUGCAUGUCGGUGACGCAGCUAACGCAUUAAGCACUCCGCCUGGGGAGUACGGUCGCAAGAUUA